CCAGCUCUGACCUCCAUCCUCCCUGAGGGAUCCUGUACUGAGCUGCCCCGAGGCCAUUCACUGCGCUCAGCUCGGGGCAGCUCAGUACAGGAUGCGUCGGGGUGGGAGUCAGCAGGAAGCAAG
rnacentral:pre_miRNA from 12 species